GCACCGCUAGCUCAAUUGGUAGAGCAAACGACUCUUAAUCGUUAGGUUAGAGGUUCGAUUCCUCUGCGGUGCA
rnacentral:tRNA from 1 species